rnacentral:rRNA from 1 species
UACGGAGGGUGCAAGCGUUGUCCGGAUUUAUUGGGUUUAAAGGGUGCGUAGGCGGCCCGUUAAGUCAGUGGUGAAAGCCUCCAGCUCAACCGGAGAACUGCCAUUGAUACUGGCGGGCUUGAGUACAGACGAGGUUGGCGGAAUUGAUUGUGUAGCGGUGAAAUGCAUAGAUACAAUCAAGAACACCGAUUGCGUAGGCAGCUAACUAGGCUGUAACUGACGCUGAGGCACGAAAGCGUGGGGAGCGAACAGG